rnacentral:rRNA from 1 species
GACGAACCGUGCGAACGUUAUUCGGAAUCACUGGGCUUAAAGCGCGUGUAGGCGGGACGGCACGUCGGCCGUUGAAAUCCCCCGGCUCAACCGGGGAAGGGGCGCCGAUACGACCGUCCUGGAGGAACGUAGGGGGAGCUGGAACUUCCGGUGGAGCGGUGAAAUGCGUAGAGAUCGGCAGGAACACCCAGGGGGAAACCAGUCGACUGGGCAUCUACUGACGCUGAGGUGCGAGAGCGUGGGGAGCGAACCGG